GUCUGAGGCAGGAGAAUUGCUUGAACCUGGGAGGCAGAGGUUGCAGUGAGCCAAAAUCACGUCUACAUAAAAACUGAAAACAAUGGGGUUCUGAUAGCUCAACAUGUGGAGGUUCCCAGAGUGGUGAGCUUGCAGAGGGCACAAAAGCUUCACAUCCCUUCCUAUAUGCCUUGCCCUACGCAUGGUAUCACCUAACCCACAACAAAUAACCCCACCCUCCCUAAUUUCAUUUCUUUAUUUUUUGUAUUUUUAAUAGAGACGGGGUUUCACCGUGUUAGCCAGGAUGGUCUCGAUCUCCUGACCUCGUGAU
rnacentral:lncRNA from 1 species